CCCCUAGAUGUUCUGGGCCGCACGCGCGCUACACUGAUGCAUUCAACGAGUUUACCUUGGCCGAGAGGCCUGGGCAAUCUUUUAAACCUGCAUCGUGAUAGGGAUAGAUUAUUGCAAUUAUUAAUCUUGAACGAGGAAUUCCUAGUAAACGCAAAUCAUCAAUUUGCGUUGAUUACGUCCCUGCCCUUUGUACACACCGCCCGUCGCACCUACCGAUUGAAUGGUCCGGUGAAGCCUCGGGAUUGUGGCCAGUUCACUUUAUUGGGAGUUGGCUGCGAGAACUUGUCUAAACCUUAUCAUUUAGAGGAAGGUGAAGUCGUAACA
rnacentral:rRNA from 1 species